rnacentral:rRNA from 1 species
CAAGGAAUAUUGGGCAAUGGGCGAAAGCCUGACCCAGCGACACCGCGUGGGGGAAGAAGACCUUCGGGUUGUAAACCCCUUUUAUCAGGGAAGAAUCAUGACGGUACCUGAUGAAUAAGCCUCGGCUAACUACGUGCCAGCAGCCGCGGUAAUACGUAGGAGGCGAGCGUUAUCCGGAUUUACUGGGCGUAAAGCGGGCGUAGGCGGCUUAUCAAGUCAGAUGUGAAAUCUCCCGGCUUAACUGGGAGGGUGCUUUUGAAACUGAUGGGCUGGAGUGCAGCAGAGGAAGAUGGAAUUCCCGGUGUAGUGGUGAAAUGCGUAGAUAUCGGGAAGAACACUAGUGGCGAAGGCGGUCUUCUGGGCUGUAACUGACGCUGAGGUCCGAAGGCGUGGGGAGCAA